ACUUUUGACGGUGGAUCUCUUGGCUCACGCAUCGAUGAAGAACGCAGCCAGCUGCGAUAAGUAGUGUGAAUUGCAGAAUUCAGUGAAUCAUCGAAUCUUUGAACGCAAAUGGCGCUCUUGGGUUCUCCCAGGAGCAUGUCUGUCUGAGUGUCGGAUUGUCAUCCAUC
rnacentral:rRNA from 3 species